rnacentral:rRNA from 1 species
AUAAGCGGAGGAAAAGAAACCAACAGGGAUUGCCUUAGUAGCGGCGAGUGAAGCGGCAAAAGCUCAAAUUUGAAAUCUGGCGCCUUCGGUGUCCGAGUUGUAAUUUGAAGAUUGUAACCUUGGGGUUGGCUCUUGUCUAUGUUUCUUGGAACAGGACGUCACAGAGGGUGAGAAUCCCGUGCGAUGAGAUGCCCAAUCCUAUGUAAGGUGCUUUCGAAGAGUCGAGUUGUUUGGGAAUGCAGCUCUAAGUGGGUGGUAAAUUCCAUCUAAAGCUAAAUAUUGGCGAGAGACCGAUAGCGAACAAGUACAGUGAUGGAAAGAUGAAAAGAACUUUGAAAAGAGAGUGAAAAAGUACGUGAAAUUGUUGAAAGGGAAGGGUUUGAGAUCAGACUCGAUAUUUUGUGAGCCUUGCCUUCGUGGCGGGGUGACCCGCAGCUUAUCGGGCCAGCAUCGGUUUGGGCGGUAGGAUAAUGGCGUAGGAAUGUGACUUUACUUCGGUGAAGUGUUAUAGCCUGCGUUGAUGCUGCCUGCCUAGACCGAGGACUGCGAUUUAU